AUUGAACGCUGGCGGCAUGCCUAACACAUGCAAGUCGAACGGCAGCGCGGGGAGCAAUCCCUGGCGGCGAGUGGCGGACGGGUGAGGAAUGCGUCGGAAUCUGCCCUAUCGUGGGGGAUAACCAGUCGAAAGGCUGGCUAAUACCGCAUGCGACCGAGAGGUGAAAGCGGGGGACCGAAAGGCCUCGCGCGAUGGGAUGAGCCGACGCCGGAUUAGCUAGNGGUUGGGGUAAGAGCCCACCAAGGCGACGAUCCGUAGCUGGUCUGAGAGGAUGAUCAGCCACACUGGGACUGAGACACGGCCCAGACUCCUACGGGAGGCAGCAGUGGGGAAUCUUGCGCAAUGGGCGAAAGCCUGACGCAGCGACGCCCG
rnacentral:rRNA from 1 species